AACGAACGCUGGCGGCAGGCCUAACACAUGCAAGUCGAGCGCGCCUUCGGGUGAGCGGCGGACGGGUGAGUAACGCGUGGGAAUAUGCCCUUCUCUACGGAAUAGUCCUGGGAAACUGGGGGUAAUACCGAAUACGCCCUUUGGGGGAAAGAUUUAUCGGGGAAGGAUUAGCCCGCGUUGGAUUAGGUAGUUGGUGGGGUAAUGGCCUACCAAGCCGACGAUCCAUAGCUGGUUUGAGAGGAUGAUCCGCCACACUGGGACUGAGACACGGCCCAGACUCCUACGGGAGGCAGCAGUGGGGAAUCUUAGACAAUGGGGGCAACCCUGAUCUAGCCAUGCCGCGUGAGUGAUGAAGGCCUUAGGGUUGUAAAGCUCUUUCAGCUGGGAAGAUAAUGACGGUACCAGCAGAAGAAGCCCCGGCUAACUCCGUG
rnacentral:rRNA from 1 species